rnacentral:antisense_RNA from 1 species
CGUUAUGGCGGCUGUGCGCGGGAGACUUAACCGUCUGCCGGGUUUCUCCGUUACCCCGGGUUUCCAGCCGCGUACAGCUGCCACCUAU